UACGGAGGGUGCAAGCGUUAAUCGGAAUUACUGGGCGUAAAGCGUGCGCAGGCGGCUUGUUAAGACAGAUGUGAAAUCCCCGGGCUUAACCUGGGAACUGCAUUUGUGACUGGCAAGCUAGAGUAUGGCAGAGGGGGGUAGAAUUCCACGUGUAGCAGUGAAAUGCGUAGAGAUGUGGAGGAAUACCGAUGGCGAAGGCAGCCCCCUGGGCCAAUACUGACGCUCAUGCACGAAAGCGUGGGGAGCAAACAGG
rnacentral:rRNA from 1 species